AUUGAACGCUGGCGGUAGGCCUAACACAUGCAAGUCGAACGCGAAAGUCCUUCGGGAUGAGUAGAGUGGCGGACGGGUGAGUAACGCGUAGGAAUCUAUUCUGUAGUGGGGGAUAACGUUUCGAAAGGAACGCUAAUACCGCAUACGCCCCAAGGGGGAAAGCGGGGGAUCUUCGGACCUCGUGCUAUAGGAGGAGCCUGCGUCGGAUUAGCUAGUUGGUGAGGUAAAGGCUCACCAAGGCGACGAUCCGUAGCUGGUCUGAGAGGAUGAUCAGCCACACCGGAACUGAGACACGGUCCGGACUCCUACGGGAGGCAGCAGUGGGGAAUAUUGCGCAAUGGGCGAAAGCCUGACGCAGCCAUACCGCGUGUGUGAAGAAGGCCUUCGGGUUGUAAAGCACUUUCAGUGGGGAGGAAAAGCUGGUGGCUAAUAUCCAUCGGCCGUGACGCUACCCACAGAAGAAGCACCGGCUAAUUCCGUGCCAGCCGCCGCUGUAAAAC
rnacentral:rRNA from 1 species